rnacentral:rRNA from 1 species
AAAGCUCGUAGUUGAAUUUCGGGAUUGACGUGACGGUCGUGCCUUACGGGGUAUGAACUGUUGCUGUUGAUUUCUCACCUUCUGGAGAAACUUGAUGUCCUUAAUUGGGUGUCUUGUGGAUCCAGGACCUUUACCUUGAAAAAAUUAGAGUGUUUAAAGCAGGCAUUUUUGCUCGAAUACAUUAGCAUGGAAUAAUAGAAUAGGACGGCAUGGUUCUAUUUUGUUGGUUUCUAGGAUCACCGUAAUGAUUAAUAGGGAUAGUUGGGGGCAUUAGUAUUCAAUUGUCAGAGGUGAAAUUCUUGGAUUUAUUGAAGACUAACUACUGCGAAAGCAUUUGCCAAGGAUGUUUUCAUUAAUCAAGAACGAAAGUUAGGGGAUCGAAGACGAUCAGAUACCGUCGUAGUCUUAACCAUAAACUAUGCCGACUAGGAAUCAGACGAUGUUAAUUUUUUAAUGACUCGUUUGGCACCU